rnacentral:tRNA from 1 species
GCACGAGUGGCCAAGUGGCUAAGGCGUCGCACUUGUAUCUCCCACACGGGACCAAAGAUCGUUAUGCGAAGAUCGGGGGUUCAAUUCCCCUCUUGUGCA